rnacentral:rRNA from 1 species
GACGAACCGUGCGAACGUUGUUCGGAAUCACUGGGCUUAAAGGGCGCGUAGGCGGGUUCCCGAGUCGGGGGUGAAAUCUUUCGGCCCAACCGGAAAAGGGCCUCCGAUACUGGGAACCUCGAGUGGGGUAGGGGUCGAUGGAACUUCCGGUGGAGCGGUGAAAUGCGUAGAUAUCGGAAGGAACGCCGGUGGCGAAAGCGAUCGACUGGACCUCUUCUGACGCUGAGGCGCGAAAGCCAGGGGAGCGAACGGGAUUAGAAACCCCCGUAGUCC